rnacentral:lncRNA from 1 species
CACCAGAGAAAAUUCUCCAGAGUGAGAAUGGAGGUUCUACAUAGCAUCAUUCAUUCAUUCAUUCAUUCAUUCAUUCAUUUAUUGAUUGUGCAUUUAUUCAGCUGAAAACAUCAUUGCACUUGCAUGGGAAUUUUGACACAAUAUCACAUAUAUCAUUAUAGAACACUGUACUGUAAUGCUAGCUCGAAGUGUAUUUGGGAUAGGUAAAUUUCUUUUGUGGGGUAUAGGGUGGGUAGCUCAUCACAUGCUAGACUCCAAAUGCUUAUUCUUGCCCUCUAGCUAUCAGGAGGAUCCCUCCCAAACUAAACUAUAACAACCUUCUAUAUCUCUAGACAUUGAUUGCCAAAUUCCCUGAACAGGACUGAGAAUCAUUGCUAGUGCAUGUCAUCUGCCUUGGAAGAUACACAAACUCUCAUUUUCCAUCUGUGUGCCUCGAUUUCUUUCGGUGUUUCUCCUCAGACAAGCAGGAAUGUCCAUGUGAUGCUGAGCUGAUGCUGUACAGUAGUGACAUACCAUAUCUUAAGCAAAAGGUUCAGUUUCUAUAACAUUAGGUGCAAGGGUAACUAUUGAUGUGUUUUUGCAGGUUAAGGAAAUGUCCAUGUAUUUCGUGGCUUAAGGCAAAUGGAUUUUGCUGUUGAUGCUUAUAUUUUUAUUUUAUUUUGCACUGCUGGGGAGUAAGUCUGUCUUAUUGUAAAUUAGUGUUGUCACUUUGUAAACAAUUUAUUCUUUGUCUACAGCAAUUACAUAUUUUUCUGUAUUUGACAAUAUGGCAGAUUAAUUUUUUAACUUUUUUUAGUGUUUGUACUUUCUUUUAUAAUCAUCUGUUUUGGGUGUCAAAAUUUUUCUUAGCUUUUUAUGCCUCUUUUUCUGUCUUCUUUUACUUUAAAUGAGAAUUUAAAGAUUUUUUUCUUCUUUUAGCAUAUUGUGAGAAGCUAAUUAAUACUUCUCACCUCAAAGUUGGAGUGUGUAUGGUAACAGGGUCUUUAAGAAAAUUGUUCAUGUUAAGUAAGACCAAAAAGGUCAGUCUCCAUGGGAACCAAUGUCAUGACUCUCUACAGACAACACUGUUCUGAUAUGAUGAGACACGACUAGUUGCUCCUCCCCACCCCACCCCACAGGACUGACCAUAGGAGGUAUGACCACAAGUCCGUAGGAGACGUAUACAAAUCCCUAAACCAAAAAGGGAGACCUUGGAAACAUCAAAUGUUCUAGCAUCUGUAUCUUGCACUUCUUUAAGAGCUUCGAAACCUAUAAGAGAACACAUUUCUGCUGUUAAAUCCAUCCAAUCACGGGUGUGCUCUCACAGAAACUCAAACUGACCAGUGUACAUUUCAAAUAUUCUCUGACAAGCACAUUCUAGUGACUACUCUAAAGUCUGAAGUCUCUAUGUCCACUUCGAAAUAAUACUGUGCUCAUUUUUUUAAUUUAAAUUUAUUUGUAAUUUGUGUAUAUGAGAAUUUUGCUGCCAUGUCUGUUUGUGCACAACCUGUAUGCCUGGUGCCAAUGAAGGCCAGAAGAGGGCCUCAGACCUUCUGGAGUUACAGACAAUUAUG